rnacentral:rRNA from 1 species
UUAUGAUAAUGACAUUGUCUAUUCAUAAGUCUUGACCAAAUUACGUGCCAGCAGUCGCGGUAACACGUAGCAGACGAGUGUUAUUCAUCUUCAAUAGGUUUAUGGGGUACUUAGACGGUAAAUCAAGCCUCAAAAAGGGACUAGUUUGCUAGAGUUUUAUGUGAGGAAGUAUUAAGGUACUGGUGGUGUAGAGAUGAAAUUCGAUGAUACCUUGAAUGGCACAGGUAUAGGCGAAAGCAUCUUCUUAUGUAAUAACUGACGUUAAAAGACGAAGGCUUUGUGUCUCGAACAGGAUUAGAUACCCUAGUAGUCAAAGCAGACAAUGAUGAAUGUCAUAGAUUGGAUUUAAAUUUAUUUAAUCUAUAAAUGAAAGUGUAAGCAUUCCACCUUAAGAGUAAUUUGGCAACAUUGGAACUGAAAUCAUUAGACCGUUUCUGAGACCAGUAGUGAAGUAUGUUGUUUAAUUUGAUGAUCCGCAAAAAACCUUACCACAACAUGAAUAGAUAAUUUUUAUCAUACAAGCGUUGCACGGCUGUCUUUAGUUAA